AUCUAUCGUCAUACGAUUUCUCGAUCAUAAUCGCAUCUCGUAAAUAAUACAUCUCUCUUAAAGCAUGUUCUAAGAAGAAGGAAGAAAAAGAAAACGAAGAAGGAAGCUGUUUUAUCUUUUACACAAGAGUUCAAUGAUCAACUAUGAAACGUAACUUCGUGACGACUUUUCCAAUGAAGAAUAAUGUUAUUUUUGUAUUUUUUGAUUUUCUUAUAUUUUAUUUUUGCGUUCUCUCUUUUCUUUUCUCCUCUUUUUUCUUUUUCCUUUAGAACUGGGGUUACGAAAUGGAGAUGUAUGUUUUAAGAGAAAAGAAAAAGGAAUAAAUAAUUGCCCUUUUCUCGAUUUGUUCUAACCGAUGACACAAUACCUACUUCAAACAAUAGAUACCUUCAUAGACAAUAGUUAAUAAGCUACUAGAGGCUAGUUCGAAGUUUCAAAACUCGAUAGUAUAAAACGAUGCGCUUGACCUGCUUUAACGUACAGACUCUAGGUACGGUUUAGGAAUAAAAGAUGCCUGAGACGGAUCAGAUUCUAGACAAAUUGGUUUACGUUUGUUUAGGUCGAAAUAAAUUUUACUAAGAUAAGUGAUAUGUAUAUAAUAUAUAUAUAUAUAUUAUUUUAUUAAUAUAUUUUAUUAAUACGUAUGCAUUGUACUUUUAGAGAAAUUAUCUCGCAUAGUAUAAGUAAUAAUAAUUGUAAAAAAAUUUACAUAUUUAUAUAGAUAUAUGUAUCGUGCAACUACAUUAAUUCAUUACAUAUUUUUAGAUAUUCAUAAUUAAUCAUUGAAUUGAGUUCUGUUGUCGUAGGCGAAAGAAUAUUAUAUGUAAAUUAAAUUACAUUACACCCGACAAUUGAGUUUUUUAAAAUUAUAUCAGAUACGUAUAAAUAUUAAUAAUGAAUAAUUAAAACGAGAGAGUAUUGGUGUUAUCGUUGAAAUAGAACAUUUUUAAUCGACGACGACAAACCGAAGUAUAUAUGAGAAAUAAAAAAAAAUAUUAAUUGGCUAACUUUCUUACUCGUUCAUAGAAUAACUAAACUAUCGUAAAGAAAAUAUUUUAACGCCAAAGAAUACUUAAAAUCUUGCUUAUACAUAUCUCGUAGAAGUCGUUUCAUGCAUAUGUAUAUAUAUACCGUUUCGAAACUUUAGGAACACGAGAGUAUGGGUUUUGUCGUGAUAUAAUAGAAAUCUUUAAAGUGAUUUACGCAUAAAUCUUGAAAAAUGAAGACGCGUUAGUGUCAACUAACAAGCAAAAUACAAAUUUUCCAUUGACUUCUCGCGACGAAGAUAUCCAAACAGCCUUGAGACGCUUGAGAAGUUUUUCUAGCGGAGCAACCAACACACAUUGGGUAUUCGAUAUCGAGGUUAAAGAAACGAUUCAUACAUCAAGGUCGUAUUUCGAAUGAAAGAAAAGAGAAAAAAUUUUUUUAAAUAAAAAUUUCGGACUACGAGUGGUAAAAAAGUUCUUAGACAAAAAUCAAUCGCACUAUUUUCUUUUCUUUUUUUUUUUUCAGAAAAUUUUUAAUUUUUCUUUUCUCUUUCGAACUACAAGCCUGACUGAAUGCUCGUAAGGUUUCGAAAAAGAAUAAUUAUUGAUAUUUCUUUUUUUUUCUUUUUUUUUUCAAGUAUGGAUAAUAUCUGAAUAUGAUAGUAUCUAUUAUAAAAUGAAAUUUUUGGAAAAUUAUUUCGAUAGCGACAUUUUCUAUGCGAUAGCAGUGCGCUUGUGAGCCCUGAAAGUCUAUAAGCCGCCGAAGAGUAUUUUUGUCCGUGGAUAUUAUCGAUUGCAUAUACCCUGCUGCUCCACUCUCUCUCUUUCUCUCUUUCUCUCUCUUUCUCUCUCUCUUUCUCUCCCACCCACGUCUUUUCCUCUCCGACUUUUUUUCUUUCUUUUCCACGCUUUGUAUACAGGCCUCCAAGACAGGCUCCAAGACAGACCGAUCGACGUACUUACUCUCUUUAGUUUCAAAGAUAACAUGUGCGUUUCAUAAUUUCUUAGCAUUACCAUAUGCUUUCAUUUAAUCUAUACGAAAUAAUUAUAUAUUUAUGAGAGAGAAAUAAAAAUAGAAAGAUAGAAAGAUAGAUAGAUAGAAAGAGAGGAGGGAGAGAAAACAAAGGCAAAAAUUAAAAAAAGAAAAAAAAAAAAAAGAAAAAUUCUUCACAUUCCUCGAUUUACGUAAAUUCGUUUAUGUAAACGAAUCGACUGAUACGAAUCAAAGAAUAACAAACGCAAAGAACUUACACGCGCACACGACGCACAGGCGCACGCAAAACGCACAUUUAUCGUUUUUCAUGAAUGAAAAAUCAUGAAGGUCAGAAAGAAAGAAUUAUAAUUAUAAAAUAUCGAUCGAUCAUGCAAUGUCGAUAAAGCGAUAUCGGUAUGACCGAUUCCCGUUGAUCGAAAUCGGUCGGAAGAGGCGACGAUCUCUCGUUGGCUCGGUAUCAAGCGUCGUACGAAAAGACGGCAGCCCUGUCCUCCUUUUUGUGCCUGUUCAAAAGAUAAUACUUGGAUAUUCCAGGCAGAAGAGAGUAAAAGCUUCUUUAGAGGAAGAUCCACUGGAAUUUCAGCGAUUCGUUGCUACUUGACCGCAUCGCCGACCUAUAAAUAGUCGAAAUAAUCACGUGACCCUCUCGCAUACCGGAUUGCACACGUGGACAUAAAUAAAUAGCACCUUUCAACCUUACGUCGUACUUUCAAAUUGCGAUCGACGCCGAUCGAGAGCCCUCCUCUUUUUCCUCCUCCUCCUCCUCCUCUUCUUUUUCCAUCUCUUCUUCCACCUUCUUCUCUUCCUCAUCUUCUCUCUUAACACUUCCCUUCCAACUCCUACCGCAGCUUCUAUCGAUGUUCAAAAUUACGUCAAUGCCUAUCGAUCUUCCCUUUAAUCCUCCCCUCUCUACCAAACCUACCGAGUCGACUUUUAGUUCCUUUCUCAUUCCAUUGCAACGAACUAAUUCAGAGAUAGUUUCUCAAUGAGAUGGUUAGCUAACCGCAAAAAUUCGUUUCGUUGACUCUGUGAUUGAAUCGUAUACGAAGGAUAAAUUGUAUUUUGAAUACCUAUUGUUUAAUUGUUAUAAUGGUUGAAUGGUUUUCUAGAUCUAUAUUGGUUCUUUUAUUGGAUUUGUUAUUUAUUGAUGGGAUUCGAUAUUUAUUUAAGGUGUUUUCGUUUAAAAUACUUGCUGAUGAUUCAUAUAUAGAUGUAUGUAUAUAUAUACAUACAUAUAUAUAUAUAUCUUUUUGCUGUUAAUCCAUGAACAUAGACAUAAAUAAAAAUUUCUAUUCUUCGUAUAGUUCGAUAAAAAUUCUUUCUCUUUCUUUUCUUAGCUCGUCUUCUAAGUUCUCAUUUGAAAAUCUUUAAAAGCUUUAAGCUUUCAGCUUUGAUCCUAAUAGUUGCUAAAAGCGUCGUCCAUCGACAGUCAAAAUAAAAAGGAUUAUCGGAUCUUUUUUCCAGAUCUAUUUUUUUUUAGUUAUCACAGAAAGAGGAUUAUCGUGCGGAGAACUCGAUAUCAAUAUGAAUCGUCGUCGAAGAAUAUUUUAUUUUUUCCUUGGUACCUAUAUCAUUUUUUCUUUUUUUUUUUUUAGUUUAAUCGUCGAAUGAUCGAUAAAAUAUAAUAUCUAUCGCUAUUCAGUCAUCCCGAGAUCGAAGGGGGGAGCGUCUCGCAAAGUGAAGAUUACACUUUGAGAAUGAAGAACCUAACGGCAACUUGGCACCAAAAUGGCGGAGAAGUACACCCCCGAAUGACGUCAUAGGAAAACGGCGUGGCGCCAGCGCAGCCCUCGGACUGACGUCAACUCGCACCGAUUCUACUACUAUUCUCUGCUAGCUACGAAACGAAGCCCGUUGGCCCGGCAACUUUCGCAAACUUUCCUUCGUAUGUUUAUCUGUGUACACUAUUACUAUUACAUAAUAUAUAGAAAAUAGGUGGAUAAUAAUGGAUAAAGCGUAGACAAUGGCAAUUACUUAAAUCGUGCUCGAAUAAUUUUGUCGCGUUGUAACGAUCGAUUCGUUCGAUUCCAUCCUUUCUUUUUCCUCUUUUGAAUAUUUUCUUUUCAUCGUCAUUUUCAUUCUAUUCGCUCUCUUUAUCGAAUUUUGAGAAAAAAAUUGUUUGAUUUUAAGAAUGAACUUUAUGCCGAAAUCUUUUAUUAUUAUUUAUUAUAUAAUUUUAUCAUAGAUAAUUUUCAUGGCAGCUCUGUUUUCGUGUAGAUUAUAUAAAAUAUUAUAUAAAAAUAUAUAGAAGUAAGAAAAAAAUUAGAGAGAGAGAGAGAGAGAGAGAAAGAACGAAUAUCAUUUAUUAUAAAAAUAUGUCAAAUAUAUCGUGACGGUUUAAUGGGCAUAAAUUUUUCACACAAAUUAAUCGAAAAAAAAAGAGCCAAGAACUAAGAUAAAAGAGAUAUUUUUAAUAUACUUCUUCUUCGAUAACGACACGUGUUCGCUAUUACAAACACUCUAAAUGAAUGUGUUCAACUUGUAAAUCAAAUUUAUUGGAAUUUCCGAUACUACAUCAUAAGUUAUAACAAUAACUUUAAAACUUUUCCUGUAUACAUAUUUACAUACUUAUUAGAGUACAUAGAUGUAUAAACUUAUUAUAUACACACAUACACACGUAUACACACGUAUAUCUGUUCUCGUUUACGUCUCUACGUUGGGCUUACGUCCACAGGCCGUUAUCUAUACGAUUCAUUGUCAGCGAUGCGUAGCAACGAGCUUAUGGACGGAUCUCUCUUUUUAUUGUCGCGAGAAUGACGUCAAUGCUCUCUAAUCUUGGCACUCACUUCCGAAAAUUAUAAUGCCCGCAUCGGUGUGGCCUCUGCGAUGUUCAUCGGCUCUGCUUCUGAAUGAUUAUUCGUUUCCUGAUUUCGACCCUCACAUCUUUUUCGAGUGAUACGACCGUUCCAUAUUUUAUAUACAUAUAUCUAUCUAUAUACAUACGUACAUACAUAUAUAUACACAUUUUUGUACACGUGUGUGUGGAUAUAUACAUAUGUAGAUAUACGUAUCUAUAUCUAAAUAUUCAAAAGGGAAUUUUCUGGUAUUAGUUUGCUCUCGAGAUAUCAACGAGCUUUUGAAAGAAGGAAAUAUUAUGUCUUUCAAUGUUACUAUGCCGAUUGGAAGAGGAGACCCUUCUUUUACUUAUAUCCUCUAAGAUACGAGUAUUCAAACGUUAUAUUUAGUCAGAUAUCUUCCAUGUGACGUUAAUAAUAUUAUUUUCUUAUUUAUCUCUUUGUUUACGAUAUAUUUACUUUUCGUUCGUCCACAUUGAUUAGAUGUAUAUAUGUAUGUACAUAUGUACGUAGAUCUUAUUCAGAUUGGAUCUACUAUUGCAUAAUCCUCGAUUUCUCGAGACGUUGUCCGACGAAUCUCUUGGCUACGUCUCAAAUAUGAACAAAAGCGAUUGCCCGGAGAGCUCUGACGACGAUCGAUAAAAAAUCGUAAUAAUAUUUACAUUGUUAUAUCGAAAUAAAUCAAAAUAAUAAAAAUUGAACGAAGGAAAUGAAAUGAAAGUGUGUGUGUGUGUGUGUGUAUGCGUGUGUACACUCUCUACUAACUUAAUAUAAAUUAAUUUGUAAUGUUAUUACUUGCGUCAUCCGUUUCGAAUUUUUUUUUUUAAUGACGCAAACCCUAAUGGGUCGUAACGGGUUGAAGCACAUAGCGUUGCAACGUUAGAAGCGUCAUCGUACCAAAGUUUCCUUUAUCGAUUCGAACGAAGCCGACGACGUUUAGCUAGAGUCGAGGAAGAUUACGUAACUGGUCUAAACCAAGGUCGAAGGGUAAAACAACGAGAGCUCUUUGCAAUCGGAAGGUCUCCUUUUCCUCUCUCAUAUAUGCAAUUAUUUUAAUGCAAAUUAUGUAUCUCAUUUUUUUUCUCUUCCUUUUUCUUCAUUUUUUUUUUCUAACGAAAAAAAAUCGACGAAUCUUUAAAAUUACGUAAAAAGGACAAUGGCGAUUUUAAUAUAAAGUUAUGGUUUUUUUUUUUUUUAGAAAUAUUAUUUUAACUUUAUUAUAGAUGUAUAUGCAGUAAAUGUUAUGAAAUAUGUGUCGUAAUAUAUAUUGUGUCAAAAUUUUUCUUUCCUUUCUUUUUUUUAUUCAAUUAAUUAUUUUCUAUCUUAAUUUUUACAUGCAUUAGAAAAGAAUAGAAAAGAAGGCAAAGUCGUUUAAUUAUUUGAUUCAUAAUAAGAUAUUUAUUAACAUUAUUAUAAAUAACAUAAACGUUAUCUGACAAUAAGUAUGAAAUAUUUAGCAUUGUACAUAGAUCGUCGAGCGGUUAUAUAAAUUUUGCUAUAAAAAAAACUAUUUGUAAGAAUUUCAAUCUAUAUUCGUUAUUUCUAUUACAUCUUGUUUAUUCGUACUUGAGUACCUAUAAUGCAGCGUGUCGUUAUGUCGCAUUCUAUGCUUCUUUAACGCGCGAGUCCAAUUAUAAUAUAUUUAUGAGAAUAAAACAUUUUUGUGUUUGGUAUGUAAGUAUAUGUUUUUAAACAUAUUUCUAAAUAUUUCUAAUAUUAUGUAUAUCCCUUUUGUCGUUGUUACAUCUUUCGAUUAAUCUAUAUGAAAAACUAAUUGUAAUCGUUGCCACGACGUGCAGCAUUUUGUUUUUUCUUCUUCUUCUUUUUUUUUACGUUUUUUCUUUUUAUAUAUGUAUAUUCGUAUAAUAAAUUAAUACUAAAAAUUGCCUUAUAUAUUAGCGACAGGUCAAAAAUGUAAUAUUUCGAUUAAACGUCCAAUGAAAAAUAUUUUUGACUCGUCCACGAUCCUCUAACGAGUGUAUAGAAAACGCGAGGAUAAAUAAAUAAGGGAAUAUAAAAAAGAAAAAAAAAAGUUGAAAUUUUAAUAUAAUAAAAAUCCCACAAUGAUAUUCCCCACUUUCGUCGUUAAGUUGCCACGUUCGACGAUAUUAUUUAACAAUUUAAUUUUAUCGUACAAAUUUUUCCUUCCAAAUCGAUGCCAAGGACCGCCGAUAUCAUUGAUGUUGCUGACACCAGUGAUUCAGGUCGAUUAUUAUAAUUACGAUCGGUCGAACGUUGCAUUAGAUGUAUCCUGCGCGUUCCCCCUCUAACAUUCUUAUUACACGCACGCACACGUACAUAUGUAUGUAAUGUAUCGGAUAUGAAAUAAAUAGAUAUGCGAAUGAUAUGUAUGUAUGUUUUCGAAUUGACGAUACGAUUUGAAAUGAUAAUAAUAAUAAUAAUAAUAAUAACAAUAAAUUAUAUUUUGUCAUUUUUUGUUGCAUCUUUUUUCGAAUAAUUUGUUCAAUUGAUUUAUAUAUAUAUAUAUAUAUAUAUAUAUGUAUGUAUGUAUGUAUAUGCAUAUAUGUAUAUAUAAUAUAUUCGAUUACUUAACACGUUUGAAUCGAUUAAAAUCGUAUCGUAAAGUCUUAUUAAUUAUGUCAGGAAGAACGAUGAUAUAUGCUGAGAGAAAAUAUGUUAAUCGUAGCACAAAAUAAAAAGUGAAUAUUACGGUAAUAAAGGAACAUGAUCCGGCGUACAGGGUGUUAUUCGCGAUAGAAGAUAGGAAACGACAGAGAGAGAGAGAGAGAGAAAGAGAGAGAGA